rnacentral:rRNA from 1 species
UGGGGAAUAUUGCACAAUGGGCGCAAGCCUGAUGCAGCAACGCCGCGUGGGGGAUGAAGGCCUUCGGGUUGUAAACCCCUUUCAGCAGGGAAGAAGCGAAAGUGACGGUACCUGCAGAAGAAGCACCGGCUAACUACGUGCCAGCAGCCGCGGUAAUACGUAGGGUGCAAGCGUUGUCCGGAUUUAUUGGGCGUAAAGAGUUCGUAGGCGGUUUGUCACGUCGGAUGUGAAAUCCCAGAGCUUAACUCUGGGCCUGCAUUCGAUACGGGCUUACUAGAGUGUUGUAGGGGAGACUGGAACUCCUGGUGUAGCGGUGAAAUGCGCAGAUAUCAGGAAGAACACCGGUGGCGAAGGCGGGUCUCUGGGCAAUUACUGACGCUGAGGAACGAAAGCGUGGGGAGCAA